rfam:Zootermopsis nevadensis contig19910, whole genome shotgun sequence.
GCCACGGUGGUCUAGCGGUUAGAACGCUGGCCCUGUAAUCCUGGAGUCUCGGGUUCGAUUCCCGGCGGUGCCC